CGGAAGGCUACAGUGAAACAGAAUAUGAUUAAGAGCUGGAGGAGAAGAGAGAAGGGGAGGAUAAAGCGUCAGAAGAAACAGUAAAUAAAGCAGUCAUCAGCAGUGGAGAACAGUGUGAAUCCUUCAGCUUCACCUGCUCCUUGUUUACCUGGAUCUGCAGCACAUGAUGACGUUUCUACCAGUGGUAAUGCCAUUUCUGCCCACAGUGAUGACGUCUGGUGACAUCAGUAGCCGAGUGAUGACUACCAGUAUCCAGCCAACCUCUCAACCCAUGGUGAUGAUAUUUUCUGUCGCAAACUGACAACAUGUCAAUGUGUGGUGAUGUUUCAUGUCGUUAAUAUUGCAUUUAUACCCACAACUAUGUCACCUAAGCCGAUGGUGUUGACAAUUCAAGGUGUGGUUGUCUUAGUCUCAUUAGUUCAUCACUGAAAGUAAUGAAAUUGGAACCCAAAACCUACCUUUAAUGACAAAAAUCAUUUCAACAUGCUUAGCUGGUUUUGUUGAGAACAGUAACUCAACAUGCAGCAGCUUCAUCAAUAAGAUUGAUGAUGAUUUCAUGUAAAAACAAAACCGUACUUGUUUAUUUGCUUUCUAUUUGGUAAUACUGUGCAUCCAUUAAUUUCUGAUAGUGAAGCUAAGUGCCACAGUUUUCAUCCAAGCAGGUCCACUUACAAUAGUAUAAUUUAUUAUUUCCAGGAGAAUAACUGCAGGAUUGUUUGUUUGUCAGAGUACAUCCUUUGACAGUUCUAUUUAGCUUAAUUUGUGUAUGAUUUACCAGUCUUGAUGAUUCUAUAAUUAAAUUGUCAAAGUGAGUGAAGAGAUGGUCACUAAUGUGGGAGAUAAAUAAUGCACAUGGUCAUAUUUACUCUUCAGCGUGUCUAGAACAUGCAGAGUAUGUCAAACCACCAUUGAGUGGACCAAACCUAAAGCUGAAUAUGAUGUUAAUUUAACUUGUACAAUUAAAUUGAAAAAUAAACCCAGAAGAAAAAACAAUAAUUAAAACCGUGUUCUCAGAUUGUGUUGACAGGUCGUGAUGAACGACUGGACUUUGCACCUUGAGGGUUUCCAGCGAGCAGUACCUGUGGCCGUGUACAGUACUGUGAAAUUGAGCUUUGCUUGGUGUGCUGCAGCCACACUCAUAGCAUCCAUGCCUC